GAGUUGUUGAAAAUGAAGAUUUCGUGCAACCGUCAUUACUGUUGCCAAAUCAGUACCAGCGGCUAUUGCUUGACGAUUCAGAAUUUCAGUAAUUUGUUCCCGUGUAGCACCUCUAGCUUUUAAUUGAGAGGCACGCUGUUGAAACAAAAUUGCAAGUUGUCGUAUUUUUAUCAAAUCCACGGAUUCUCGUUUUAACAUAGGUUCAUUUGCAGGUACAGGACCCGAAGGUAAAAAGUUUCCUAAAGCUGUUAGAAAAAUAAAUACAAAAUUAAAAUAAAAUUGAAUUGAACUCAAAAAGUACUGAAAUAAGCCUUUAAUACACUUACCAGUCGCAUUGGGGGGCGAUUCAGAAGAUGCCGCAUUAGCUGGGAAUUUCUGCAUAGGUUUCGGAGGGGGAAUUUGAAUACUACUAGGUGGUAGACGUUGGAUUUUGGGUGUAGUUUUUCUUUGAACUGGAGCAGACUGAACCAAAUGUGCGGGUGGUUGCUGAGCUUUCGGUGAUUGCUGCUGCUGCGCUUUUUGUUGCUGUUGCAUUUGCAUUUGCCUUUGUUGUAGAAUAGCUCGUUUACGCCGCACAUUCUCAAUAAAUUGUAGUCUUUGAAAGGUAGGUUGAAAAUCGCGUUUUCUUUGGUCAUCCAUUAGUAACAAAAGGUUCUCUUUUUCAAGUCUUUCUGCUUCUUCAUCAGCAAGUUGGGCUGAUCCUUGAGGUUUCUUUCUGGUGCAUGGUGGUGCAGAGUCGGCCAACUGGUUCAUAAAUUGAAUCAUUUCCGCUUUAGACUUCGCAGGAGUUAAGAAAAGUGGAGCUUCUGACGCUAGUAGAAUGUUGGAUUCCAAAGUCAAAACAGCUUCAUCCGAAAGUGAGUUAGCAAAGCUUUCUGAAAGUAAACAUAAAUCUUGCCAAAGUGUUUCGGGAGUAGGACGAAGAACUGUAUGAUACACUGGAGGUGAAUUAGUAUUGGGUUUGGUAUCUUCAGGUUGAUUAUUAAUUGGGUUGGUGUUAUUUUGCUGCUGUUGAUUAGUAGAGCCAGGCUGAGGUUGCACAGUCUGAUCAGCAGAAGGACUUUGCCGAUGAUCUAUUAUACGAACCGUUAAGCAACCAUCAUAGAAUUUUACAUCGGAAUUCCGAAAUACUUCAAGACAAUCAGGUGGUAUAAGCUCCAUCCUUAUAUAUUGCAAAAUUGAUUUUACCGGCCCAUUAUAGGUGAAGGCGCCAUCUUGUUGCUCAAACCGAAAAUGAAAUUUAUGAAUAUGAAGAAUUAAACUCGGCUCUUCUUUCGAAAAUUUAUGUUCAAUAUCAUGCAAUUUUCUGGGAACUUGAGUAUUAUGUCAGUUAGAGUCGAUAAAAUCAAAUACGCAAAAAAACCAAAGAAGCAAAACUUCCUCAACACUACUUACCAUUAAAAUUCGAAACGUUUUCAUAAAUUUUUGAUAAAAAUGCAUCAUCUGAGGAUUCAAUUCCUUGUUUAUUCUGAAAAUCGUCCAAACUCAAUUCCUUCCCAUGAUAGCGAUACGUAUAGUCGCCCAAACCAUUAUUUCUUUCCAUCUCUUAGUUCAACGAACUAUACCAGUAAUUGUAAAACAAUAUUCCCCCUAUGUUUACAAUUAAAAUUAUAAGCUGGUUAAAUUCUUCAAAUCCUACUAGGUUAGAUAGAUAGAAGCGUUUGCUCACAUAACGAAAUGUAAUGAUGCGUUAUUAAUGGUAUCGAAGUUCAAGAUUUCGUUAAUAGUUUUGCAGUUUACGCGCUUCAAAGCCCUAAUCCAAAAUAGCCUCUAGCUUGAGCAGUUCUGGCAUUAUCGUUUUCCUCCACCGCAGCAAGUUCUUGUUGGCAUGAUUCAUUCUGCGUUUACUUUUGACU
rnacentral:lncRNA from 1 species